GCCUUACUUAGCUGCAUACUUAAAAUGACUGUCUAUGUGCAACACUAAAUUGCAUUCAUUUCACAUUAAUUUCUCACCUGAUCAUCUGCAUGUCCAGAGCUUGUCCCUGUGUGGACACUGCUUUUAACUUGCCUGUCUCUUUCCCCGUCUCUCUGUGACGCCUGCAUUGUGACCACAUGUCAUUUUAUCAGAAAAACAGCGACUCGUGCUGCCCACGUCGACCGAACGCGGGCCAAACCAUUAACAUGAUAGGGAAGGGUAUAUUUUACAUAUUUUCUGCUGUAUAUUGGGGGGGACAGAUUGGUACCUUUUCAAUAUUGGGGGGGACACGACCCCCCAAAAGAAUGCGUGGUUACGCCUAUGGACCAUCACAUGUCCAUGACAUCAGGACUCCUGUCCAUCAAACCACAUGUGCAGAGAACCCAUCCAAACCACGGCGAAGGAGGAGAAGCUGCUGUUGGAGGACGUCCUCCUCAUAGACACUCAGAUAUCUGCAGCAGCAGAAGCAAACAAGAGACAGCGAGACAGGAGACCACUGCAGGUGAGAGACAAACAGCCCCAAUACCCCGUCCCCCCCAGAGGACAAAUAUCCAGCAGGUAGAGACCGUUCAAUGGGUCUCCAGCAGACAACGUGGGGACAAUAGAGGACAUGGAUGUUAUAUAUGUGGACAGGAGGACCAUUGGUGCAGAGAGUGUCCCAGGAGUUAUGAAAGGGACAUGCGACCAAACGCUCCACCACGGCUGUUCUAUACAACGCAGCCCGGCAGAACCAGAGGACGGGUCCACCUCCCCCCCCCCCUCAUACAACCCCCAUAACAACUAACUGGUGACACACCGACGCCCACUGCUUCCCAACAGCCCAGAUAAGCAGCCUUAGUCUCCCCAGUUUACGACUCACAUUCCAGGUAGAAGAAGGGAGAAUAGAGAGUACAGACUAUUGAGAGUGUCAGAAAAUAGAUUUACAACCAGUACGAAACAUUGAUUUACUAAUAGAGGGAAACUGCCAGUAACAAUGAGACACGGUUGUGAAAGAUUUAAAUGAGGAAUGAAGGUGAUGAGAAUUGUACAUAGUGUCAGUUUUUUGUAUUAAUGUUUGUAGUUUUUUAGUCUCCUCCUAAACUCAGAGAUGGGCUGUAAAUUGUUGAGUGCUGCUAUUGAGUGUAAAGUGCACGAUACACUUGAUACAGUAUCUGGAUGAUGGAAGCAAACGUCUGAUCAAAGGAACAUUGAUAGCAGCAGUACAUGAAAUAGGGAAACUUGUUAGACGGUCAUCCUGUAAUGGUACAACAAGUAGUACACACUGGAAGCGAAUGGCGUAAACAAACAGAUGGUCGUCCUUGUUUCAGCCCACUCAGCUCUCUUUCCCUUUCUCACUCCGUUGAGACUUGGUCGA
ensembl:lncRNA